UACAGAAGGUGCGAGCGUUAAUCGGAAUUACUGGGCGUAAAGCGUGCGCAGGCGGUUUUGUAAGACAGUCGUGAAAUCCCCAGGCUCAACCUGGGAAUUGCGAUUGUGACUGCAAAGCUGGAGUGCGGCAGAGGGGGAUGGAAUUCCGCGUGUAGCAGUGAAAUGCGUAGAUAUGCGGAGGAACACCGAUGGCGAAGGCAAUCCCCUGGGCCUGCACUGACGCUCAUGCACGAAAGCGUGGGGAGCAAACAGG
rnacentral:rRNA from 1 species